GUAGGUGAACCUGCGGAAGGAUCAUUAAAGAGUUAGGGUCUUCUAGGCCCGAUCUCCCAACCCUUUGUUUAUUGAACCUCUGUUGCUUCGGCGGACCCGUCUCACGGCCGCCGGAGGACCGCUGAAAGGCGUCCUCUGGCCAGCGUCCGCCGAUAGCCAACCACUUAAACUCUGAAUAAAUCGUGUCAUAUGUCUAAGUCUAUGAUUAAAUUAAAGCAAAACUUUCAACAACGGAUCUCUUGGUUCUGGCAUCGAUGAAGAACGCAGCGAAAUGCGGUAAGUAAUGCGAAUUGCAGAAUUCCAGUGAGUCAUCGAAUCUUUGAACGCACAUUGCGCCCUUUGGUAUUCCGAAGGGCAUGCCUGUUCGAGCGUCAUUAUCACCCCUCAAGCCCCGUGCUUGGUGUUGGACGGCUUGGUCGCGUCACCGCGACUCCUCCUAAAGACAAUGACGGCGGCCUGUGGUUCCCCCGGUACACUGAGCUUUUAAUUGAGCACGUAUUGGAUAAGGGCACCCGGGACCCGGUCUUCUCCCUUUACCGGGAAGUUAUUCAAUGGUUGACCUCGGAUCAGGUAGGAAUACGCGCUGAACUUAA
rnacentral:rRNA from 1 species